CCUAAUGUAAUGAAUGGUGUCUUUAUAAGACAAAGGAGAGGGAAAUUUGGAUAGAAAUACAAGCAAAUGGAGAGCAUCAUGUGAGAAUCAAGGCAGAGAUUGAAGUGAUUCAGAUGUAAGACACAGAACAGCAACAAUUUCUGGCAACCACUGGGAGCCAGGAGCAGGCAAGAAAGGAUUCUUCCCCAGAGCCUUCAGAGGGAACAUGAACUUGCUGACACCUUCAGUUCAGGCAUCCAGUUUCUGGAAGUUUUCAAGCCACUUGCAGCCACGAGAUCAAAGUGGGGAAUUGAGGAAUAGACAUUGGUGAAACAGAAUCAAGGCUACCUGCUCGUGCAACUUACUUGUAACCUCCAGAUCUGUUCGGGCCAGUUCCAGAAGGUACCAUUUAAACUGAGUGAAGGAUGGCGUCUGCAACCAUUUGACUCUGUGAUUUGGUAACCUGACAACGGCAGGAUGAAUGUUGGGCACCUCUGAUGGCACAGUCACUUGCUGUUCUUUGUCAGGCAUUCAUCUAUAGAACAGGAGUUAUUUUUCACACAAAGGGUAGGUCUCUGCUGCUGACGACGUGGCUCUACUGCAGAACACUAACAUCUGUGCUGAGACUCUCCAAUUAGAGCUUUCCAGGGACCUCAUACGGCUUCUUGAUCUCAUAUGGAUGCCUUUAGCAUCGUUGUAUUCACUGAGUCAUACAACCAGGCUGCAGGGCACCUUGCGCAAUAGCUUGGACCUGUUUGCAAAGCCUUCUCUGUGUCCCUCAAACUAAAUUUUACUAAAGAAGACAGGUUUUAUGCUUUAA